rnacentral:rRNA from 1 species
UACGGGGGGAGCAAGCGUUGUUCGGAUUUACUGGGCGUAAAGGGCGCGUAGGCGGCCACCGCAAGUCGACUGUGAAAUCUCCGGGCUUAACCCGGAAAGGUCAGCCGAUACUGCGGGGCUAGAGUGCAGAAGGGGCAAUCGGAAUUCUCGGUGUAGCGGUGAAAUGCGUAGAUAUCGAGAGGAACACCUGCGGCGAAGGCGGGUUGCUGGGCUGACACUGACGCUGAGGCGCGAAAGCUGGGGGAGCGAACGGG